UAUAGCUCGGUGGUAGAGCAUUUGACUGCAAAUCAAGAGGUCUGUGGUUCAAAUCUGGUA
rnacentral:tRNA from 1 species